rnacentral:piRNA from 1 species
UAGAGUGGGCAAUGCUUCCUGGAACUGGG